GAGUUUAACAAUUAUAAUUAUGUAAAGUUGAUGCUGAAAAAAAUCCUUUGGCGUGGAAUUCAAAAGGAAUCCCUUGAGUUGUCCGGGUCGUUUUGCGAUGUUCACUUCAACAAAGAUUUGCAAUAAUUUAUGUUGUCAUAUUAGCCUGCCUUUACGUGUGGAUAGGCCAUCCCGUGAUGUCUUUAUUGACAAGAACAUGAAGGUAAGCAUUGCAUGGAAUCCUGCGGAAAAAAGCUAAAUCAUUUCCAUCACUUUAGAUUAAAGUAUUGGCAAAUUGCAGCAAUGAUCUUCACCAAAAUCCCCAUUAAGUAGACGUUUUUGGUCACUCCUAUGUCUAGUCUCUGUUCUAGGAAACAGUGGCCUUCUGAUAGCUUUUCUUUCAGAAAAGAAGCCUGUGCAUGGAUGUAUUCCACCUUUAGCCCCUGCGUAUGGAAUGCCCCAAGGAAACACGCAUCACUGCAAGGUAAAAUCAUGGUGGAAGAUAGGGUUCGUACUGUGUAGUUAGUUAGCAAGUCAUCAGCUACUUUGUUAUGGUCUUGUUUCUGUCAGAAAACGAACUGGAGAAAAUAAAUAAAACGAGGCAUCAGGGAAUUCCUGAAGACAAUCCAGAGUCAGAGCCUGCGAUUACCAAGGCAAGAUUCUAGCGACAUCUGGAAAUGCCAUAACAUCAACUUUACUUCUGAAAACUUUCUUCAAGCUCGCAGUUCCCUGUAAUCCCUUAGCCCUAAUGUUGACAAACUUGUAACGUGCAACUGAAGUAAUUUCAAUAACAGUGACCAUAGCCUCUGUGGCUGAUGAUACCAAAAAGAAGCUCCUGGCCAAAACUUGAGUCCAGAGAGCUAAACACGGAUCUAUAAUCUUUAAACUCGAGCAAGAGUAC
rnacentral:lncRNA from 1 species